rnacentral:rRNA from 1 species
UACGGGGGGGAGCAAGCGUUGUUCGGAUUUACUGGGCGUAAAGGGCGCGUAGGCGGCGCAACAAGUCACUUGUGAAAUCUCCGGGCUUAACCCGGAGCGGUCAAGUGAUACUGUCGUGCUAGAGUGCGGAAGGGGCUACUGGAAUUCUCGGUGUAGCGGUGAAAUGCGUAGAUAUCGAGAGGAACACCUGUGGGCGAAGGCGGCUUACUGGUCCGGUUCUGACGCUGAGGCGCGAAAGCGUGGGGAGCAAACAGG